rnacentral:rRNA from 1 species
AACGAACGCUGGCGGCAGGCCUAACACAUGCAAGUCGAACGCUCCGCAAGGGGAGUGGCGCACGGGUGAGUAACACGUGGGAACCUACCUUCUGGUACGGAACAACCAAGGGAAACUUUGGCUAAGACCGUAUACGACCUCCGGGUGAAAGAUUGAUCGCCGGAAGAGGGGCCCGCGUCCGAUUAGGUAGUUGGUGAGGUAACGGCUCACCAAGCCUUCGAUCGGUAGCUGGUCUGAGAGGAUGACCAGCCACACUGGGACUGAGACACGGCCCAGACUCCUACGGGAGGCAGCAGUGGGGAAUAUUGGACAAUGGGCGCAAGCCUGAUCCAACCAUGCCGCGUGAGUGAUGAAGGCCUU